rnacentral:rRNA from 1 species
UACGGAGGGGGCUAGCGUUGUUCGGAAUUACUGGGCGUAAAGCGCGCGUAGGCGGACCUGCAAGUCGGGGGUGAAAGCCCGAGGCUCAACCUCGGAACUGCCUUCGAUACUGCGGGUCUCGAGUCCGGGAGAGGUGAGUGGAAUUCCUAGUGUAGAGGUGAAAUUCGUAGAUAUUAGGAAGAACACCAGUGGCGAAGGCGGCUCACUGGCCCGGGUACUGACGC